rnacentral:rRNA from 1 species
UGGGGAAUUUUGCACAAUGGGGGAAACCCUGAUGCAGCGACGCCGCGUGAUUUAGAAGGCCUUCGGGUUGUAAAAAUCUUUUCUAUGGGAAGAAAAUGACAGUACCAUAGGAAUAAGGACCGGCUAAUUACGUGCCAGCAGCCGCGGUAAUACGUAAGGUCCGAGCGUUGUCCGGAAUCAUUGGGCGUAAAGGGUACGUAGGCGGGUAAGCAAGUUAGAAGUGAAAUCCUAUAGCUCAACUAUAGUAAGCUUUUAAAACUGCUCAUCUUGAGGGAUGGAAGGGAAAGUGGAAUUCCUAGGGUAGCGGUGAAAUGCGCAGAUAUUAGGAGGAAUACCGGUGGCGAAGGCGACUUUCUGGCCAUAACCUGACGCUGAGGUACGAAAGCGUGGGUAGCAAACAGG